GGGCCCGUAGCUCAGCCUGGUAGAGCAUCCGGCUCUUAACCGGAGUGUCGUGGGUUCGAAUCCCUCCGGGCCCG
rnacentral:tRNA from 1 species